CUGGCUCAGGACGAACGCUGGCGGCGUGCUUAACACAUGCAAGUCGAACGAGA
rnacentral:rRNA from 1 species